UGAAAAGCCAGCCCAGCCCAGCCUCUGGUCACUUAGCAAUCAAGGAUACGUGGCUGAAUGAUGCCAAAUCAUGAGAUGACCUGUGAUGUACCCCUCUGCCAGCAGUCAUCCUUGUAUUCAAAUGCCUCUAGUCACCAUCUCAGACAUUCAGAGAAAAGGCACGCAGCGAUGAUACAAUGCAAUCUUGAUUCUUUAAUAUUUGCUCGAGGAGAUGAUGGGACUCAAAUGCAGCCGGCACGGACACGGGAGGAUUUCAGCGCGACGCUGACAGCUGUUCAUUAGGCACGGAUGAAGCUGUGUCCGUCCCAGCAUUUCAUUCUGCCGGCCUCAGACAUUCUCUCAUGGGAAGUCCAGGACGCCAGUGACUCGUGGAGAAUGUGAAAUUGCAGCAGGAAA
rnacentral:lncRNA from 1 species